CAAUAGUGAAGAUUACUUACUCAUAGGUAAAUAACAUAAGUCGUUUCUAACUUUGCAAUAGCCGACAGAUACUAUGUAGUUGAUUCCGAAUUUGAGCAAGCAUUCGAUCUGUUCGCAAUUGAAGGGUCGAUUAACUUGAGAGGGUUAAGGAGCAUUAUGAAAGCACUUCAAGGAUCUGCACCAAAUGACGAAGAGCUGAAGUUAAUGAUUAAGGCUGUUGAUACUGACGACGAUGAAUGGAUUAGUUUUGAUGAGUUCUUGAAGAUUUUGUCGAUAAAAUUUGAAAAAAUGGAUUCGGCGCAGACAGUUCGUGAGGCAUUCAAGUCGUUUGAUAUCAAUGGUAUCGGUGAAGUAAGUACAGACCAUCUACGUCACGUGCUCACAAAUGAAGACGACCAACUCUCUGAAGACGAAAUAAACAAUCUGUUAAAAGACUUUACGGAUAAGACAAUAAAAUAUGAAGACUUUAUAGAGGAAUACGAUAAUGAUUUAAUAGAAUAUCGUAUGGCUACAAAACUAAAUUGAGAGAGAGAGAGAGAGAGAGAGAGAGAGAGAGAGAGAGAGAGAGAGAGAGAGCAAAACUUCUGUAUUCUUUUACACCCCUUCCAUGUUUCAACUAGAAAUUUAAGAAAGUCAAUUAAAAAAAUUGGCUACCCUUUUUCUAAUGGACUUAUUUGACUUAAAUGUUGUCUUUUCCCCCUACUCCAAAGCAUGUCCCGUUGAUAUGAUUUGUGCUUGAACAUAAGAUUGUACAAUUUAUAUAGAUUUCAAAUAAGAUUAUUAUAUAUUUCACUUUAAGUGUCAGCAAAUUUCAAGAAACUAGUUCAGUAUGUUAAUGUUAUUUUGUUACAAUAGUAAAUGUUAUGUAUGUUCAUGUAAUUUACAUAAAAUAUCUCUUAGACUAAUAAAACUUGGUAAUAAAUUUGUCUAUCUUAAAGUAAAUUGUAUAAUGAAAUGUUUUUACCUUGAACUCUAUAUACAACAGGCAUUGCAAAUACUUUGGAAUAUUUUCAAACUUAUAAUAAAAUAAGCAAAGAAUAAGGUCCGAAAUACUGCGAAUCAAAAAUCUUGUUAUUAAAUGAAUUUUUGAAGGGUUUAAUAAAUUUUAUUUGAACUACUUU